rnacentral:rRNA from 1 species
GAUGAACGCUGGCGGCGUGCUUAACACAUGCAAGUCGAGCGAACGGACGAGAAGCUUGCGGCUUUGAUGUUAGCGGCGGACGGGGGAGUAACACGUGGAUAACCUACCUAUAAGUCUGGGAUAACUUCGGGAAACCGGAGCUAAUACCGGAUAAUAUUUUGAACCGCAGGGUUGAAAAGUGAAAGUCGGUCGUGCGGGCACGUAUAGCUGGAUACGCGCUGCAUUAGCUAGUUGGUAAGGUAACGGCUUAUCAAGGCAACGAUGCAUAGCCGACCUGCGAGGGUGAUCGGCCACACUGGAACUGAGACACGGUCCAGACUCCUACGGGAGGCAGCAGUAGGGAAUCUUCCGCAAAGGGCGAAAACCUGACGGAGCAGCGCCGCGUGAGUGAUGAAGGUCUUCGGAUCGUAAAACUCUGUUAUUAGGGAAGAACAUAUGUGUAAGUAACUGUACACAUCUUGACGGUACCUAAUCAGAAAGCCACGGCUAACUACGUG